UUAAGCGCUUAUACACUUAAAUUUAGGGUAAUGAUGAUGAUAUUUAUAGAUAUGAAAUUACAUUUUAUAAGUAUAGUUAUAGAAAUGAAUAGUUUUUAUUUUUAUAUAAAAUUUAAUUAAUUUAAUAGACAGGUUUAGUUUCUGUACUUUUUGUAUCAUGGUUUAUAGAGAAAAAUUUCUUAUGAAUUUUCCCGAAAGUCACAGAUCUAUUUGAACUAAAAUAACACGUUGCAUAGUUAAUAUAAAGUUAAAAUAGUGCGAUAUGCUAUUCGUAGUGGCUGAUAGCUGGUUAAAAAGGAAAUGUAUUUAAGUACAGGUAAACUAGUUGGUUUUGACAUAUUAUGGUUUAAAACCUUAGGUUAACUGAUGUGUUUGGGUGUUAGCUCUAACAUAAUUAAAGGUUUAAUUUGAUUUUAAAGUGGGAUUAAAGGUGUCUAUCUUUAAAGCUUUUAUUUUAAGUAUUUAAAAUAAAUAAUAUUUAAUGUACUUUUUAAUGUUUACAAAUUAUAUAAAUAUAAAUUAGUAUAAAAUUAGUAUACACAUUAAAUUUUUAUUAUAAAGGAAGAAAUACUUUGUUUAUUGUAAAGUUAAUAGAAUAUUGAAAUAAAUUUGUCUUUUAUGAACUCGGCAAUUAUUUUCUGCGCCUGUUUAUUAAAAACAUGGCUUUUUGUAAAAUAAAAUAAAAAGUCUAACCUGCCCGGUGGUAAUACUAAACGGACGCAAUUUUGUGUUAAAGUAGCGUAAUAAGUUGUCUUUUAAUUGUGGAAAAGUAUGAAUGGGUUGACGAUGGAAAAUCUUUAUUAAAGGCAUAAGUUAAAAUUUACUUUUAAGUGAAAAGGCUUAAAUUAGUUUGCUAGACGAGAAGACCCUAUUGAGCUUAGUACCUUAUUCCCAUAUUGGGCAUAAGUAUAUUUAUUCGGGGUAGAUUGGAAGAGAUAUAAUGUCUUCUUUAAUUUAAGUUAAGAAAUAGUUUGAACUAUAAACAAGAUAAAUAGUUACCAUAGGGAUAACAGCGCAAUUACUUUUGUUAAGUUCUUAUUUAAAAAAGAGUUUGCGACCUCGAUGUUGAAUCAAGAUUUCUACCAGGUGCAGAAUAUUGGUGAGUGGGACUGUUCGUCCUUUAAAAUCUUACGUGAUUUGAGUUUAGACCGGCGUGAGCUAGGUCGGUUUCUAUCUACAUUUUUAAGGGUUUCCGUACGAAAGGAUAAAACUCUUUGGCUUUGGCUAAUAUAGUUUUGUUUUGAGGUUAAAUGAU
rnacentral:rRNA from 1 species